ensembl:lncRNA
GUUGAUACCAAGGCAGACAUGCAGAGAGAAGCAGAGAUGGAACGGGGCUACAGAGAGAAAGAGGCAGUGGCUGCCUGCUGACUUUUCGGUCAACUGAAACCCAGAUGCCAGGCUCUGUGCUGGGAAGAAGAAAUUCAGAGAUGAGCCUUGGGACUUGGACUGAAAUUUAUAUCACUGGCUUUCCUGCAUGUCCAGCUUGCAGAUGGCAGAUCAUGAGACUUCUGAGCCUCCAGAAUCGCGUGAGCCAAUGCCUUGGAAAAAUGUCAAUCCUACCCACAGCUCAGCUGCUAAUGCCUGAACUCAACUCAAUUGAAGAAUACAGCUGUUUGCCAGCUACUUGCAAGGAAGGAUAAUCCCUUGCUACUGAAUACCUCUGAGAGCUCAGCUGAAAGAAAUAAUAUUUGUGGAAGGUGUCCUGAGGAUGACAUGUGGAUGUGGAGGAUGUGGAGGAUGAGAUGGGAAAACACCCAUCUCAUCAUCUAGAAACUGACAGCUCUCCUCUUGGUUAAGCCAGACAAUCUUGGAAUUAUAUUUCUUAGAAUGCAUCAUAUUGGAUUCUGACAGAUUUACCUAUCACAAGAGACAAUCUUGCAGAACUCUCUGCAACAAAGCAAGAAUAUUGACUACAUUACACCAAGUUCUCACUACACAUAUCAAACAAAAAUUCCUCUUUGGUUUCAGUAUCGGGAUUAGUUGUGUGCCCUUAAGUGUCUGGUUUGUUUUCGUAUUGUGGACACCGUGAAUCAUAUAAUUGAUCAAAUUUCUUUCUUCUGCUGGCUGAUAGCAAGUUUACAGACAGUGGCCCGACUCCAGUAGAAGAGAUUUCAUGGCGUUAGGUGAUCUACAUGGAGGUAAUUCCUGGUCCCGCUAAACUCUUCUGAUCUUGUUUUCCCAUUGUCCACUUUUUCUUAAUUUUGAAAAUAUUUAUUAUCUUACUAUGUUUAAAUGAAUCCAUGACAUACUUUAAACCAUUUUAAAAUAACUGGGUACAUAUUAAUAAAAAUCCAAAUGAACAGGUGCUGGGGACCUGUUGGCUAACUUUUCACCUACCCUGGGAUAAGGUGGCUGCUUCUAGAUUUGAAUUUAAAACCUCUGGUGGAAUAGCUUUGUUCUUUUGUAAGUAGAAAGAAACAGUAUGCCUGUGGAGGACUCAUGGAAAGAGAUCCCUUCUAUUAUGCAAUUAUGCAGCCUCAGAGAGGUAGUGAGUUUGGAGAGUAGGGAGGACACCCCUCCCAUUCUCAACCCCCAAACCUUGUUAUGCUACUGCUGGGCUAACAGAGGGAGUGUCUGGUUCUGCUGCCUGGGCCUGGGGCAAAGGAUUCCUGGCACCCCAGCCUGGCAUGGGGACUUUAACUCCCACAGAAACAACGUUCUGACUUGUAGCUAUGUGUGGUAAAAAUAGUACUACCGUGUAGAUAUAUGGUAUUCAUACACACACACACACAUAUAUAAUUUUAGACAUAUAAAGUAUAGUUUUUUAGCUUACGUGAAUAUCUAAUCAUAAUUUUAUAAUAUCAUUUCUAUGAAAAAAUGUAAUUUAAGUUCUAAAUAGUCUCAUCACUAAACUUUCUGAGCAAAAUUUAUUUGUGAACUGGGGACUUCUUUUGCCUAUAUUUGUGCUUGUAUUGAAUACAUGUUUGAGGGAUAAGAAAAUGAACGUAGGCCACAUCUUCAUUUAAUACAGUGAAGGAGGGAUAAUUAAUAUCAAAAAGAAUAGUAUUUGUAAUUACUUACUCAGUAAAGGAAUUUUCCUGCUUGGUGUUUGGCAUUUUUGUUUCUUUAUAAACAUAAAAUCUAAACCUUUAUUUGUCAUUUUCUUUGUACGGUAUGCCCAAUGAGUAUAUCAUAACUGAAUUAGAGGGGAAUUGAAAAAGCAUUUAAAUAUCACCUAUUUAACAA